AAAGUCUGGAGAAAAAGAUGAAUCUCAUUGGUUGCAACCGCAACCUGCUUCGAUUCCCUAUUUUCUCUGGGACUUU
rnacentral:ncRNA from 1 species